AUCCGGCUGACGAGUCUCAAAUUGGAAGAAAUGUGCAUCCUGGAU
rnacentral:hammerhead_ribozyme from 1 species